rnacentral:rRNA from 1 species
CCUACGGGAGGCAGCAGUGAGGAAUAUUGGUCAAUGGGCGAGAGCCUGAACCAGCCAAGUCGCGUGAAGGAGUACUGCCCUAUGGGUUGUAAACCUCUUUUGUCGGGGAGCAAAAGCCGGACGUGUCCGGCUGUGAGAGUACCCGCAGAAAAAGCAUCGGCUAACUCCGUGCCAGCAGCCGCGGUAAUACGGAGGAUGCGAGCGUUAUCCGGAUUUAUUGGGUUUAAAGGGUGCGCAGGCGGAUUUUUAAGUCAGCGGUAAAAUCGUGGGGCUCAACCCCAUCCAGCCGUUGAAACUGGGGAUCUAGAGUGUGCGAGAGGUAUGCGGAAUGCGUGGUGUAGCGGUGAAAUGCAUAGAUAUCACGCAGAACCCCGAUUGCGAAGGCAGCAUACCGGUGCACAACUGACGCUCAGGCACGAAAGCGUGGGUAUCGAACAGGAUUAGAUACCCUUGUAGUC